rnacentral:rRNA from 1 species
GACGAACGCUGGCGGCGUGCCUAAUACAUGCAAGUAGAACGCUGAAGGAGGAGCUUGCUUCUCUGGAUGAGUUGCGAACGGGUGAGUAACGCGUAGGUAACCUGCCUGGUAGCGGGGGAUAACUAUUGGAAACGAUAGCUAAUACCGCAUAAGAGUAGAUGUUGCAUGACAUUUGCUUAAAAGGUGCAAUUGCAUCACUACCAGAUGGACCUGCGUUGUAUUAGCUAGUUGGUGAGGUAACGGCUCACCAAGGCAACGAUACAUAGCCGACCUGAGAGGGUGAUCGGCCACACUGGGACUGAGACACGGCCCAGACUCCUACGGGAGGCAGCAGUAGGGAAUCUUCGGCAAUGGACGGAAGUCUGACCGAGCAACGCCGCGUGAGUGAA